GCUUGUGGUUUAGUGGUUAGAGUGUCAGACUCAUGAUCAUAAGGUUCCAGGUUCGAUCCCUGGACUGAGCA
rnacentral:tRNA from 1 species